GGAUGCGAUCAUACCAGCACUAACGCACCGGAUCCCAUCAGACCUCCAAAGUUAGCGUGCUUGGGCGAGAGUAGUACUAGGAUGGGUGAACUCUGGGAAGUCCUUGUGUUGCAUCCC
rnacentral:rRNA from 1 species